rnacentral:rRNA from 1 species
GAUGAACGCUGGCGGCGUGUCUAAUACAUGCGAGUCGAGCGAACGGACGAGAAGCUUGCUUCUCUGAUGUUAGCGGCGGACGGGUGAGUAACACGUGGAUAACCUACCUAUAAGACUGGGAUAACUUCGGGAAACCGGAGCUAAUACCGGAUGAUAUUUUGAACCGCAUGGUUCAAAAGUGAAAGACGGUCUUGCUGUCACUUAUAGAUGGAUCCGCGCUGCAUUAGCUAGUUGGUAAGGUAAUGGCUUACCAAGGCAACGAUGCAUAGCCGACCUGAGAGGGUGAUCGGCCACACUGGAACUGAGACACGGUCCAGACUCCUACGGGAGGCAGCAGUAGGGAAUCUUCCGCAAUGGGCGAAAGCCUGACGGAGCAACGCCGCGUGAGUGAUGAAGGUCUUCGGAUCGUAAAACCCUGUUAUUAGGGAAGAACAUAUGUGUAAGUAACUGUGCACAUCUUGACGGUACCUAAUCAGAAAGCCACGGCUAACUACGUG